rnacentral:rRNA from 1 species
GAGGAAUAUUGGUCAAUGGGCGCAAGCCUGAACCAGCCAUCCCGCGUGCAGGAAGAAGGCGCUAUGCGUUGUAAACUGCUUUUCCAGGGGGCGAACCUCCCGCACGAGUGCGGGACUGACGGUACCUUGGGAAUAAGCAUCGGCUAACUCCGUGCCAGCAGCCGCGGUAAUACGGAGGAUGCGAGCGUUAUCCGGAUUUAUUGGGUUUAAAGGGUGCGUAGGCGGAUUAAUAAGUCAGUGGUGAAAACCUGCAGCUUAACUGUGGAACUGCCGUUGAUACUGUUAGUCUUGAGUAUGGUCAAGGUAGGCGGAAUGUGUAAUGUAGCGGUGAAAUGCUUAGAUAUUACACAGAACACCGAUUGCGAAGGCAGCUUACUGGGCCGUUACUGACGCUGAUGCACGAAAGCGUGGGGAUCGAAC